GAGGAACUUCCUCUUCCGGAAAGGAACAGGAGAGGAGAGGAGAGCCCUGCGUGGCGGCUCUGUUGCUUCUUCCAAGGAUGGAAGCAGCUGCUGGAAGAUAAAGAGGAUACCAAUAAGAGCACUCCGGACAACAGAAUAACAAGCAACAUUAAAAAGGAAAGCAAAUCAAUCCAGAAAUCAAAAUGUUUUCCAUUUCCUUCAGAAAACCCCAAAAUUCUUCUCCUUCCCCAGCAGGUGAUCAAGAUGAGAUUUUGAACUGGAAAAAGUAGACUAUGCAGGACACAUUAUAGAUACAUUACACCACUAAAAAAACUGACUUAUGACCAUUUUUCACACUUACAACUACUGCAACAGCCCCAUGGUCACAUGAUUUAUAUUUGAAUGCUUGACAGCUAUGAUGGUUGUCGUGUUCUAGGGUCAUGUGAUCUCCUUUUGCAACUGCACAGACAUGUUUAUUGUGGGAAACAUGCAUGUUUCAAAUCGCAAUGGAGUAUGCAUGAAAUGAUCCACAAUGGAGAAAAGAAGUUUAUGUGGCCAAAACUUUAGUCACAACAGCUCUCUUGUAGUUCAUGGAAGGACCCACAUAGAAGCCCUACAAUGGCUCCCAAUGUAGUGAGCAUGGCAACUUGGUGAUACAUUAGAGAACUUACACCAGGGAGAAACCCUUUGAAAGCUCUGAUUGUGGGAAAAGUUUCAGUCAGAACUCCGGUGUGGUGAUACACUAGAAAAUGUACACAAAAAAGAAAUCAUAUGUGUGUUCUGAUUGCGGGAAAUGUUUCAGUGGGAAUUCCAAGUUGGUGAUACACCAGAGGACUCACACAGGAGAGAAACCCUUUGAAUGUCCUGAUUGUGGGAAAUGUUUCAGUAAGAAUUCCAACAUGGUGAUUCACCAAAGGACUCACACAGGAGAGAAACCCUUUGAAUGUCCCAAUUGUGGUAAAUGUUUCAGUAAGAAGUCCAACAUGGUGAUUCACCAAAGGACUCACACAGGAGAGAAACCUUUUGAAUGUUCUGAUUGUGGCAAAUGUUUUAGUUGGAAUUCCCAACUGUUGGUACACCAGAGGAUUCACACAGGGGAGAAACCCUUUGAAUGUGCUCUUUGUGGGAAAAGUUUCAGUCACAAAUCCCAACUGGUUGUACACCAGAGGACUCAUACAGGAGAGAAACCAUUUCAAUGUGCUCUUUGUGGGAAAAGUUUCAGACAGAAUUCCGAACUGGAGAUACACUGGAGGACUCAUACAGGAGAGAAACCAUAUGAGUGUCUGGUUUGUGGAAAACGUUUCAUUGACAAUUCCAGCCUGGGGAGACACCAGAGGACUCACACAGCAGAGAAACCCUUUGAAUGUUCUGAUUGUGGCAAAUGUUUUAUUUGGAAUUCCCAUUUGGUUAAACACCAGAGGACUCACACAGGAGAGAAACCCUUUGAAUGUCCUGUAUGUGGUAACAGUUUCAGUCAGAAGUCACACCUGGUGACACACCAGAGUACUCACACAGGAGAGAAACCCUUUGAAUGUGCUCUUUGUGGGAAAAGUUUCAGUCACAAUUCCCAACUGUUGGUACACCAGAGGAUUCACACAGGGGAGAAACCCUUUGAAUGUGCUCUUUGUGGGAAAAGUUUCAGUCACAAUUCCCAACUGUUGGUACACCAGAGGAUUCACACAGGGGAGAAACCUUUUAAAUGUGCUCUUUGUGGGAAAAGUUUCAGACACAACUACAGCCUAGUGAUUCACCAGAGGACUCACACAGGGGAGAAACCUUUUAAAUGUGCUCUUUGUGGGAAAAGUUUCAGACACAACUACAGCCUAGUGAUUCACCAGGGGACUCACACAGGAGAGAAACCAUUUGAAUGUGCUCUUUGUGGGAAAAGUUUCAGACACAACUACAGCCUAGUGAUUCACCAGAGGACUCACACAGGAGAGAAACCAUUUCAAUGUGCUCUUUGUGGGAAAAGUUUCAGAGAGAAUUCCGAACUGGUGAUACACCGGAGGACUCACACAGGAGAGAAACCAUAUGAGUGUCCGGUUUGUGGGGAAUGUUUCAUUAAUAAAUUCCAGUUCAUCAGUCACCAGAGGAUUCACACAGGAGAUAAACCCUUUGAAUGCCCUUUCUGUGGAAAAAGGUUUAGUCACAAAAGCCUCCUGGUGAUACACAAGAGGACUCACAGAGGAGAGAAACCAUAUGAGUGUCCUGGUUGUGGCAAAAAUUUCCGUCACAAGUCCCAAAUGGUGAUACACCAGAGGACUCACACAGGCGAGAAACCGUUUGAAUGUCCUGAUUGUGGGAAAAGGUUCAGUGACAAAAGCCACCUGAGGAUGCACCAGAGGACUCACACAGGAGAGAAACCGUAUGAAUGUCCUGUUUGUGGCAAAAAAUUCUGUCAGAAGUCCCAAAUGGUGAUGCACCAGAGGAUUCACACAGGAGAGAAACCGUAUGAAUGUCCUGUGUGUGGCAAAAAAUUCUGUCAGAAGUCCCAAAUGGUGAUACACCAGAGGAUUCACACAGGCGAGAAACCAUUUGAAUGUCCUGAUUGUGGGAAAAGGUUUAGUAACAAAAGCUGCCUGGUGAUACACCAGAGGAUUCACACAGGCGAGAAACACUUUGAAUGUCCCGAUUGUGGGAAAAGUUUCAUUACAAAAUUGCAGCUCACAAAUCACCAGAGGACACACACAGGAGAAAAACCUUUUGAAUGUCUUGACUGUGGGAAAAGGUAUAGUCGUACUUCCAGCCUGGUGAAACACAAGAGGACUCACACAGGAGGGAAAUCAUACCAGUGUCCAUAUUGUGGGGAAUGUUUCAUUAGAAAAUUCCAGUUCAUGAGUCACCAGAAGAUUCACACAGGAGAUAAACCCUUUGAAUGCCCUUUCUGUGGGAAAAGGUUCAGUCACAAAAGCCACCUAGUGAUACACCAGAGGACUCACACAGGCGAGAAACCAUAUGAGUGUCCUGUUUGUGGCAAAAAAUUCCGUCAGAGUUCCCAAAUGAUGAAACAUCAGAAGACUCAUACAGAUGAGAAACUGUAUGAGUGUUCUGUUUGUGGCAAAAAUUUCUGUCAGAAGUCCCAAAUGGUGAUACACCAGAGGAUUCACAUAGGCGAAAAACGCUUUGAAUGUCCUGAUUGUGGGGAAAGUUUCAUUACAAAAUUGCAGCUCACAAAUCACCAGAGGACACACAGGAGAGAAACCUUUUGAAUGUCCUGACUGUGGGAAAAGGUUUAGUUGUACUUCCAGCCUGGUGAAACAUCAGAGGACUCACACAGGAGAGAAACCGUAUUAGUGUCCUGUUUGUGGCAAAAGUUUCAGUCAGAAUUCUCAACUGGUGAGAGAAACACUUUGAAUGCCCUGAUUGUGAGAAAUUUUUUCAUUUCAAUUGAAACCUGGUGAAACACUAGAGCAGUGGUUCUCAACCUUCCUAAUGCCACGACCCUUUAAUACAGUUCCUCAUGUUGUGGUGACCCCCAACCAGGGGUGGGUUCUAAUUUUUUUUACUAACGGUUCUGUGGGUGUGGCUUAUUUUGUGGGCGUGGCUUGGAGGUCAUGUGACUGGGUGGCCAUGGCUAUGUGUAUAGCAACUACUCAGAGGGCUGAAAAAAGUCAUUUCUGACAGGUCCUCGGACUUUUGACUGGUCCUCACACUUAUGACCAUCCUCACAUUUAUGCCUGUGCAGCAUUCUUAACAACCAUGUCACUCAUUUCACAACUGCUUCUCUUCACCAUGGUGAUAAGAUAGGGCAAAAAACGUAAAAUGUGAGGACAGUCGUAAAUUCGAGGACUGGUCAAAAGUGCGAGGACCAGUCAAAAAUAACUUUUUCAGCCCUCUGAGUAGUCCAUAUGCAUAAAAGGAUACAGCAAUAGAGAGGGAUGAAGGAAGGGAAGGGAAAUUAGAGUAGGAGUGAGGGUAAGAGAGGGAGGAAGAGAGGAGGAGAAGGAGAAAGGAAGAGGAAGUAGGGAGAAGAAGAGGGGGGGAAGAGAAAGUAAGAAGGAAAGAAAAGAGAGGUGGUAGGUUUGAGGAGAAAGAUUGCUGUACAAUAAAAAAGAUGAAAGGGAAGAAAGCCAACCCCAAACAAAUAUAAAGAUAUUAAGAUAAAGAAUGAAUUGUUAAACUUUAAAGAAUAAAAGAGAACAAAUAGGAAUAAAUAGCAAUAAUUAGAAACACACAUACAACGUAUUUUCUUUGAACAGAGUAUUUGGCCGGUUCACAAAUUUAAACAGUUGUAGGAGGUUAGCACCCACCCCUUUCCUAGAAGAAUGAAAUAUUAAAAAGGCAGAAUAUUAUAUUUCCCUGGAUGAGAAAUGGAGAAGCAUAUUUUACAGACAAAGCAGCUCCCACCUUCCUGCCCCCCACCCUUUGUUAAUGGGCCAGAGGCAGAAAGUCUAUCCUUUGUCAAAGGACAUUUGUAACACAAUAGCAACAGAAACUAACACAAUGGGCCCCAUAUAGCAACCGAAACUCACCACAUGUGACCUGGGAAGCACAUGUGACCAUCAGCCAGCAAGGCUAGCUAAGACCCCCCACCCUCUGGGAGUCUGACAACCAAUCGGGAUACUCUUUCGGGGUCCCAAGAAAUGUAAAGCCAGAGAGAGCAUAAAAACCAUAGGAUUUACUGUAUCUGCCCCUUUUCUGUUCAGGAACUCAAGCCAUGUGAUCCUGUCCACCAUUAAACCAUCUUUCCAAGCAGUCUCCAUGUUUCCAGUGUCUUUUUCCCCACUUGGAGCAGAACCCAGAAGGAUAGUUCUUCCAACACAGUGUUUAGUCAUUUCAAUUAAAUUUACAAUUUCUAUAUUUCCUUUUUACCAUAUUUAUUCCUCAUCUAUUUUUUAAAAAAAACCAAUAUUACCCUUCAUCCUCAUCUCUAAUCUUAAUCAAAUUCAAUUUUUCCCUUCUAUUCUAUAUUAUACCCCUUCAUGUUGUCAUCUAUUUUUAUAUCCAUCCUCACAUUGGUUAAUUAUGUAAUUAUGUAAUACAGUUGUUUAAUACAAAUUCAACAUUUUAAUAUAAAUCAAUUAGUUAUAUAACUAUCUUUGUUGUAUAUUAAUCAAUAUGAACAUGAAUAUUCCAAUUAUUUCCAUGCAACCCAAUUUCUUACAAAUUAAUUAAUUAUAUUUACCAAUAAUAAUAAACCAAAUAAUUUCCCCCAUAUAUUCCUCCAAACCACAACUUAACCAUUUCUGCUUUCAACACAAUAUACAAUUAAUAGUAUCUCAAUUAUUACAAUUCCCUAGUUAAAUAGAGCUUUUUUUCUUUUGUGUUUUAAAAUCUUGAACCUCCUCUUUUGCCCUAAAUUUCCCAUUGUUUGCAGUUUUGCACCUACCUUUUUUGGUGAAGAAAAAGAAAAAGAAAUCUCUCUGCCUCAUUUUGUCACGUUGCAGCAAAGACCUUGCUUUACUUUCAAUUUCGCUUUUUCAGCAUAGCUAGGGGAAAAAAAAUCUGCUCCAGGAAUUUACCUCUUUGCAGCUAGCUAGCAAAAGAGCCCUCCGCAAAACAGCUGAGAGUAGGGCGGCUCUUUGAAGCCCCGCGGCAAGAAUUUAAAGUUUUUUUCCCUCUAGCCAUCAGCUGGGACUCCAGAGGCAGCAAUAGAUUGGGAGUGGGCAGGGUAAGCGAAUGGCAACCGACGAUCAACAGAGGCAGAGGGUGAGGGUGAGUGAAGGCGUGGGGGGGGCGAGAGAGGGCUUUGGCAACCCCUGUGAAAUGGCCAUUCGACUUCCAAAGGAGUCGCGACCCCCAGGUUGAGAACUGCUGCACUAGAGGACUCGCAUGGGAGAGACCUCUCAAAUGUUCAGUCUGUGGACAGUACUUUAGGGCAAAGUAACUCCUUAUUGCAUACAAUAAAAAUUCAUAUGCGGCAAAAGUUGAUGAGUUUGGAGAAGGUUUGAAUUUCAUUUCUGAACUCCCAUUGAGAGUGUAGGUGAGAAAUAGACUCUGAAUACUGGCCUGAUCAUUUUGCUGAAUUACCCCCACCCCUUCUCUUACUGAUGAAGUUGUCAAAUGAAUGUGCAAGUUGUUAAGCUUCACAGUGGCUACUUCAGAGUUUGGAGUUUGUCCUCAUGGAGCCAAUGACGAUGCGGAACCAAAAUGCAACCCUGUGGAGUCUUGGCUCGUUCUGGCCUCCCGGAUGCCCCGCUUCCCCGCUGGGCUGCUGGGCGAAGAUUCUCCUCAGAGAAAAAGGAGGGAGCAUCACCUGAGGAGAAUCGCUGCCACCGCUAGGUUGCACACUGGUACCUCAUAGAGGCCUCUGGGGAGGAGACGGUGGCGAGGGAGAAGGGGAAGCCCUGGCAGCUGCACUGGGCGAGGAGGGGUGUGUGCUGGGGCUGUUGCCGUCGCUUCGCUGCUUCUCUCCCCCACCCUAGCUCGCCUAUCUCUAAAUCACACCUGUUCAUCACCACACGUGCUCCGUUCCCCGUGCCACCCUGAAAUGGGCUUGUCCUUGGUAGAGAGCGUGCGUGGCAGGCUCCUCUCCAUAGCUGCUGUCAGUUGCUGCCACCAGCAGGCCCAAGCAGGACAAACCAUUUGGGAAAGGAUGGGGGGGGGAUAAGAUAAGGAGGAGAAACAGAGGCAUCUCGGCUUGCUCUCGCCUCCCAGAUAGUUUUUCCGGCAGAGCUGCCUGUGUUGGGAUGCCCCAAGGAUGCCCCACAUCCCUCCGCCCAGCUGGGCUUCGUGGGUGGGCUGCUCCUGGACUCGUCAGCCUGUGGACAGAUGUCAGAUUUCCACCCUCCAUCACCUGUUCAGGGGUUCCUUUCCCUCCCCUGGGGAGAGAGAAAGAGAGAGAGAGAGAGGGAGGGAAAGGCAGGGCAUCCCAACACAGCUCUGCUGGAAAAGCCAUCUGGGAGGGAGGUGAGUGUGAGCCGAGAUGCCUCCAUUCCUCCUCCUUACCUUAUCCCCCCCCCAUCCUUCUCAAUUGGUUUGUUACGCUCACGCCCUUGAGAGGAGCCUGCCACGUGUGCUUUCUACUGAGGACAGGCUCACUUCUGCGGGGGGUGGGGGGGAGAGAACGUGUGGUGACAAAGAGGUGUGAUUUAAAGAGACAGGCAGCGGCAACACCCCCAGCACACAGCCCUCCUUGUCCGGUGUGGCUUCUCCUUCGUCAUGGGCUCCAGGAGGAGGUGGGGAUCCCAUCUCCCCCAUUCGGAAGUGGGCUAAAUUUCAUUGUGCUGCUGCGCAAGGCAGCAACAGCAAAUGUAACGCGAUGAAGGCGGAAGGCUGUUUCACAUGGCAUUUUUAGUCCCACAAACAAUGGCGAGAAAUGCAACGGAGCUGGGCUGGAGUGACCCCCCCCAGGGGAAAAAGAGAGGGUGAGAGAGGGAAAGAGAGAGGGAGGGAGGAAAAGAGAAAGGGGAAAGAAAAAAGGGGGGAGACAGGGAAAAAGGGAGGGAGGGGGAAAGGGGGAAGAGAGAGAAAGGAGAGGGAGCAGUAAAGAGAAAGAGGUAGAAGAGAAAGAAGGGAAGGAGGGAAAGAGAUUGAGAGAGGGGAAAGAGGUGGAAAAGAAAAAGGAGGGGAAAUAUAUCACAAGUUUUUCUUUUUUAUUGUUGCUAAAUGUAAUAUUUCAAAAGCAGGAAAAAAGGGGGCAUAAAAGUGCAUUUAUCACAUUUUUAUUAGAACGAUUAGCUGAACUCUGCCUUGUUUAUCAUUAUUUUAGGUCGUAAAACCUCAUUAUUCAGGUUAAAUUGCCAUGUUGGCACUUUGCGAUAAAUAAGUGGGUUUUGGGUUGCAGUUUGGGCACUUGGUGCUGAAAAGGUUCGCCACCACUGCCAUAGGCCAUUCCUCCCCCAUAGGGUCUCCACUUCUACUGGAUCCCUGCAAUCCUUAGGCCUGACUCCCACCUACUAGGCAUCCCAGUCUCCUCCUCCAUACCUUUUGAAGAUUUCUGAAUCUCAUGUGGGGAAAGAGGACAGGACAUACAUCUCUGGGCUGUGUGACUGCCUUAUGGAAAGAGCCGUUAUUUUGAUUGUGCCCAAGAUUCAUCCCUGGACCAUGCAGUGGACUUGUGGAAGGAGCUGCCAUUUUGCCAUGGCUGCCUCUAUGUCAAUAUGGUGGCUGUUUCUGGGUCACUGGGAGUGGGACAAACUGUUCUGUUUUGCUACCUUAACACUGUAGACUGUGUUAAGGAGUUGUGGGUGCACUGAAAAUGGUGGCUGUCUCCAGGAGAUCUCCAAAAGGGCAGUAUUAUGCUGCAGCUGCCAAUAAAAGUCAAUGCAGUCCUAAAUUGUAUCAACAGAGGAAUAAUGUCAAGGCAACAAGAAGAGAUAGAAUUGCUUUAUGCAGUGCUGGUGAUACCACACUUAGAAAGAGCCUUGGUAGUACAGAGGUUUAAGGCACCCUGUUAUUAAGCUGGUUAUUAAGACCAGCUGCCUGCAAUUACUGCAGGGUUCGAAUCUCACCAAGGCUCAAGGUUGACUCAGCCUUCCAUCCUUUCUAAGGUAGGUGAAAUGAGGACCCAGUUUGUAGGGGCAAUAAGCUGACUUUGUAUAAAUAUUCAAAAGGAUGAAGGCUAUUGCUGAGCACAUUGUAAGCCGCCCUGAGUCUUCGGAGAAGGGCGGCAUAUAAAUCAAAUAAAAAAAAAAAAAUACUGUGUCAAGUGCUGGUCACCAUGAUAUAAAAAUGUUGAGACCCUGGAAAAUGUGCACAGAAUAGCAACAAAGAUGAUAAAGGGUCAAUAGGAGGGACAUUAUAGCUGUCUUCCAAUACUUGAGCUUACCAUAUUUUUUGGAGUAUAAGGUGUGCCUUCUCCCCCCCAAAGGGUGAAAAUCUGGGUGCCUCUUAUAUUCCGAAUGUAGCCCCACCCAACCUCUCAAACGGAGGUUUCAGGGGCUGAAAAAAGCCGCUAAAACUGAAAUGGAGUUUCAGAAAAAAAAAACCUUUGAAACAGAGCUUCAAAAAAAAAAAGCCUCCAAAAAAACUUCAGAAAAAAAGCCUCUGAAAUGGCAGGAAAAAAAGCCUCUGAAACAGAGGUUUCAGAGGCUGGAAAAAAAGCAAGGAGCAGAGCUCACAAUCAAUGAACCUGUUGCUAAAAUUCACUACUGAGAAAAGCUGAUUGGCGGUAUUCUGGGAGGCCAAUCCAUCCGCCAAUCAGCUUUUUUCUUAUUUUCUUCCCCAAAAACUAAGGUGUGUCUUAUAUUCCGAUGAGUCUUAUAGUCCGAAAGAGUAAUCUCUUCUAGGGCAUCAGACAGCAGGACAAGAAGUAAUGGGUGGAAGCUUGUUAAAAUGAGGCCUAACCUAAAAUAUAAUUGGUUUUGUCAGUGAGAGCAAUUAAUCAAUGCAAUAGCUUGCCUCCAGGUUUUGUGGGUAUUCCAUGAGGUUUUCAAGCGUAGGCUGGACAACCAUUUCAGAGGGAUGGUUUAAGUGUCCUGCCUUGAGCAGCAGGUUGAAUUAGAAAACCUCCCAUUAGAGUCCCUUCCAAGUCUAUAAUGCCUUGAUGGCGAACCUAUGGCACGCGUGCCACAGGUGGCACGCGUAGCCAUAUCAGUGGGCACCCCAGCUCAGCUCCAGCACGCAUGCCAGCUGAUUUUUGGGCCUUCUGGGCCCACCAGAAGUAGGGAAACAGGCUGUUUCCUGCCUCCAGAGGGCCUGGAAUGGGUGGGGAAGGCCCAUUUUUCUUUCUUACCUGGAUCCAAAUCCUCUCUAUGUAUCUGGGGAGGGCGAAAACAGCCUUCCCCAUCCCUCCAGAGAUCCUCUGGAGGCCUGAAAUGGCCCACAUAGAAUUAUGGGUGUGGGCACACAUGUGCGCGAACCUCCCCCGCCCCCCUCUUCCUGGCAUGCGAUGGCAAAAAGGUUAGCCAUCACUGCUAUAAUGCAAUGUUUCCAUGAAUUUAGAGACAGUUUAGAAAAUAGCGAAAGAGCAGCCCCAUGAACUUGCUUCUUGUAAAGUGGCUUUUUUGAAAAAGAAAUUAUUUUAUUCAGAAAAUUAAUAUAAAUAAAUCUCCAAAAAAUACCCACAAAAUUUUAAAAACAAAGAUAGACACAUUUUAAAAGAAAGAAAAAAAUGUGUAUUAAAAAGAUAAAAACAGAUUUACAUAUAUUAUCUAUGUAUUAUCUAUCUACUAUAUAGAGAGGCAAUGCCAGAUCCCUAACAUGAUACUGCCAUUCAAAUGGAGGGAGGGGGGAGCAUGAGGAUAAGAUAUCCUUUAUAACCUUUUUCCUGGUGCCUAAGCGUCCUGCAAUAUUCCCACCUUUUUUGGAAUUUAAUUUCUCAUCUUUUCAUCUCAUCUUCACACCUGUGGAUUGGCUGAAUCCACAUUUGGACUAAAGGGAGGGAUUCUAAAGCCCUAUUUCUAACUCUAUAGUUUGGGAGGGAAUUUAGAGUCUGCUUCGCCUUGUCCUGCUAUCCCUUCUUCUCAAUAAAAGGUUCCUUUUGAAAUACCACA